rnacentral:rRNA from 1 species
ACGCGUGGAACCUUACCUACCCUUGACAUGGAAGGAAUCCUGAAGAGAUUUAGGAGUGCUCGAAAGAGAACCUUCACACAGGUGCUGCAUGGCUGUCGUCAGCUCGUGUCGUGAGAUGUUGGGUUAAGUCCCGCAACGAGCGCAACCCUUGUCAUUAGUUGCUACAUUCAGUUGAGCACUCUAAUGAGACUGCCGGUGACAAACCGGAGGAAGGUGGGGAUGACGUCAAGUCCUCAUGGCCCUUAUGGGU